rnacentral:rRNA from 1 species
AUGUUUCUGCUUCACGAAUAUGAUAUUUUUUGGACAUUUCUAAUAAUAGCAAGCCUUAUUCCUAUUUUGGUAUUUUCGAUUUCAGGACUUUUAGCCCCGGUUAGUGAAGGACCAGAGAAGCUUUCUAGUUAUGAAUCGGGUAUAGAACCCAUGGGAGGGGCUUGGGUACAAUUCCGAAUACGCUAUUAUAUGUUUGCGCUCGUUUUUGUUGUUUUUGAUGUGGAAACCGUCUUUCUAUACCCUUGGCAAUGA